CUUCAUGCGGAACGGGCUCGGGAACAACGUUUUCCUGAUAUGAAAUUGUUAAAUAAGGAAUGAGCUACACCAGCCCAGUAAAGACAUCACACUAUCUCACCACCACGGAAGUAAAGGUGGGUAGAAAACAAAAAUGACCAAUGUAGUAUAAUUUAUAACAAACUCGUUUAUUAACAUAAAAACCUUUACUGUCUACUUACCUCGGUGAGAUCCAUGAAAACAACAUAUGAAAGCAAUAACAUUAUCAUCAUCAUGAAAUCAUAUAGACUUUAUAACAUAACACUUACCACAACUUUGCAUUUCAAUCAUUAAACAACAUAUUUUCUUCUUUUACCAACCUACUAGUAUCCAUGGGGAUCCAUACGGGGUCCCCGCUACCCGUGAACCAUUAACAUUAAUAACCUGAUUCCAAGGCCGUCCCCGUACCCCGUCCGGUAUGGGCGCCAAAAUCAUGAACCUCAAUACUCCGUCCGGUAUGAGGGUGAAACGGGCCGUCCCCAUACCCUGUCCGGUAUGAGCGCCAAAACACAUAAGGUCUUCAUACCCCGUCUAAUAUGAGAUACCACGUUCCCGGUAGGGUUCCCUACGGACCCGGUCCGUCCACCAUCUCUCAGGAUAUUUAGUCAGGCUGUCCACAUUAUACCUCUUGCCUUUUUCCUUGAUCUCUAUCAUCCAAUCAUACACAACAUGUAAACCAGUAAUUGACACCAAACAAGACAACACAGUAUCGGAUUCACCAUAAUACAAACCAUAAUAAAAAAAACUAUGAUUCAUGCAUACGAGACCAUAACAUAAUUACAUUAAAUAUCA
rnacentral:lncRNA from 1 species